GGGCAGGGCUGGGGACAGGGACAGGGCCCCCCUGAAUGUCGUCCCCCCCGCUGGUGGCUUUGGGGUUUGCGGUGGCCCCGAGACUUGCUGGGAACUGGAAGGGCACUGCAGGGGGAAGCUCGCAGCCCCCCAGCAGACGUGAGCGGGGACCGCUGUUCCCGGAUGUCUGCGUCCCCCCGACAUCUCCCCCCCACCGCUGCGGCCGCUGUGGUUUUUGGGGGGGCCUCUUCCUGCCAUCACCCCGGGUGUCACCCCACCCUGUGGGGAUAUAAAUGUCCCCCCAGGGUUUGGGAACAGGCAACCAUGGCCCUGCUGCUGCUGGCCCUGCUCAGCGGGGUCACUGCCCUGCUGCUGGCGGGGGCCGAGGGCCCCCCCCCCAGGCACCCUGCUGGUGCGUGCUGGGGGACCCUGGCCGGGCACCCUGGGGGGCCAGCAUUCCCCCCCCGACCCCGAGGAUGAGGACGGGCUCCAGCUGAGUGACGAUGACAUCAUGAGCGGGGGGGGGCUGCCCUCCGGCAUCGUGCGAUGCGCCAUCUGCAAGCGGGUGGUGAAGGCGCUCCGGAACGUCGUGGUCGACCCCAAUGACAAGGCGGGGGUGGCGCGCGUCACCCACCGCGUGUGCGGGCGGCUGCCAGUGGGGGCCGGGCUGUGCCGCCGCCUGCUGCACCACGCCUUGGCACCCAUCGAGGCGGCUCUGAAGCAUCACGAGAGCCCGACCCACCUCUGCACCAACCUGCACUGGUGCUCCCUGCAACCCUGAGGGGGGCACCAGCCGGCUCUGAAGGCACCUGAUGUCACCAACGUCCCCCCACCCCGUCCCCCCCCGCCACAGGCCACCCCGUCCCUCCCAGCUCAAUAAAAGUCUUUGUCACCGCA